CAAGCGGACAAGGCAUGCGUAAUCCAAGCUCGUCGAAUGGGAGAACAACCAACAACGAGAAACAGGCCGUACUCCGUCGCACUCGUAAUUUAACGCAGGCAAAACGUACAUUUAGAUCGAGCUUCAACAAGUUUAUUCCUAAUAUUCGAAAUCAUUUGCAUUCGUUGAUAUAGUAUACAAUACGAUAAGAUUUAUUAUAUCCAGGAAAUUUGCAAAAGGAAGGUCCCACCGAGAUUUGAACUCGGAUCGCUGGAUUCAAAGUCCAGAGUGCUAACCAUUACACCAUGGGACCGGUUGCCUAUGAGAAGCUCCUAGCCUCACUUUAAAAUCACAUUGCUAUGCAAAGUAAUGAAUACAACACCAAACUCUUAUCACAGCAGAAAAUAAUGGAUCACAGUGGCAAAAUUGGAUGAAUGCGUUGACAUUUUAAUCAAAAAUUGAAACAUAAACAACAAUGGACGGAAUUUAAAUUAACACUGUGUUACUGAAUCAGAUAGGCUUUAUAUUAUCUCUCUUUCACAAAAUACCAAUAAGAUAACAAUUCUUAAAUUAUUCCUGUGUAACUUCCAUUUCGGUAUUUGACGUUGUCGGUUCACCACUUGCGACUGCAGUUUCUAUUAGAGGCCUGGGUCCAAAAUAAUGUUUAACUAAAAACGUUUAAGUAAUAUAGUACAUAUUUGUUUCAAAUUAGUCAUGAGUUAAAUGUACCUGGGUCAUUUAAAAGUAAAUCUGCUACCGUUAAAUUGUUACUCUUGUUAUCGCCGCCAGCAGCAAAGAAAAAUGGUGAAUCUGGACACAUUUCAAUACAAUGCAAAACACCCAUUUUCAAAUCCUUUUCAUAUACCAUUUGUGCUCCAUAUUUAGAUUGUCCAUUGGCGUCCCAUA